CCAUCAUCACCAUCACCCUGACUAGUCUUUCAGGCGAUGAGUGCUGGAAGACAUUUAGAUCUUCCAGUGGCGCAGAACGCAUAGAGAGCCCCCGGAAGAUCAUCUUCCGGGGGCUUUUUUUU
rfam:Erwinia iniecta strain B120 contig000003, whole genome shotgun sequence.